CCCGCUGAACUUAAGCAUAUCAGUAAGCGGAGGAAAAGAAACUAACAAGGAUUCCCUUAGUAACGGCGAGUGAAGCGGGAAGAGCUCAAAUUUUAAAUCUGGCACCUUUGGUGUCCGAAUUGUAUUUGAUAGUGUCUACUUAGGAUGGUUAGCAGCUAGUCCAAGUCCUUUGGAAAGAGGCAUCAAAGAGGGUGACAAUCCCGUUUAGGCUUACUGCUAACUGUCAACAUCUAGGAGGCAUGACGAGUCGGGUUGUUUGGGAAUGCAGCCCAAAAUGGGAGGUACAUUUCUCCUAAAGCUAAAUACAGGCAAGAGACCGAUAGCGAACAAGUACCGUGAGGGAAAGAUGAAAAGAACUUUGAAAAGAGAGUUAAAUAGUACGUGAAAUUGUUAAAAGGGAAACGUUUGAGAUCAGUGAUGUUUAUUGCAGCUUCAGGAUGUCCCUAACCGGACGUUUGCAUUGCUGUGUAAACGCGUUGACUCCCAUUUCCGAGUCCGGUAAAGGCUUGAGGAAAGGUGGCCUCACCUUCGGGUGACGGCUUUAUAGUCCUCUUGAGAUACGGACUUGGGGAUGGGCGAAAGGCACCUCCUUUCUUAAGGACUGUAACCAGUCCAAGUCGACAAAAUGAGCUCAACCGACCCGUCUUGAAACACGG
rnacentral:rRNA from 1 species